GCAAAGGCCCUGGGUGCAGUCUCCAGGACGGCCAAAAAGAGUUCCAAACAGAACCCCCCCCCCCUCCAUGUGGACUCCGGGCUAGGUCUACAGAAAAAGCCGAAACCCGAGAGCCAGAAAUCAUUGCGUCUCCCGACUCAAGAUGAGCUCUGCCUCGGCGAGGGUCUCCUGCCUGCUUCCUGCUGAAUGCCAACACUGAUUAGAUGCUGAUGCAUAUUAGCUGAAUGAAUGAAUUAAUGAAAACAAAGGAUGUGAAUUUACAAGCACUGGAAUGACCAUUCUAAACGGAAAGGAAGCACCCCCAGGUUGCAGAUCCACCUUUCUUGAGAGUCACCCUUUCCACGAAUAGCAUGUCGGUCCCCGUUCCCAGAAGGGUAGUCUGGGCUGCUCUGCAAACUACAGGCUGCGCUGAAACAUUAAGGCUAUCUUCCUGGUGUCAGCCGUUCAGAUACAUAAAAAAGAAACUUGGUUUACGUUGCUGGGCUCUGGAUAGUUCCCUCGCUUAUUUGUUCAACAAAUGCUUAUUGUGAGCAGUGAGCAUACGCAGGAUUAAAAAGGCAUCAGAACAAUGCAGCCAGUGCGUUCGCUGGAGAGCUUUUCCUCCCUCCCCCGGCCUUCACAAGCUAGGUGUGGGCCCUGGAGGGGAAAGUCCACCUGCGAAGGCUGCAUUCCAGAGCCGGCUUCCUUCGGGGACCAAGCCCAGGAACCCACCGUGCCCAGGGGAAGAGCAGCAAGAAAAGACCCGGAGAUUGAACCCCGGGCCUCACACGUGCUGGCCAAGGGCCUCUGCCCAGAGCUUCUCCAUACCCCUGCCCUCCUUUCCGAGUUCUGACUGAGCUGAACCACGGGGUGAGUGCUCCACUUAUAUGCUAUUCUGAAACCUCUAGUCGUUCUGUGUACCAGAAACACUUAAGCACUUGUCAUUACUAUUUUAAUUGCCAUUCUAAUUACUUUACGAACGUUACCUGAUCUAAUCUUCACAAUUACUUUAUGAGGUAGUUGGCCGUAUCACCCCCUUUCAGCGUCAGGAGGCAGAAGUCCAAAGACAUCAGCAGCGCGCUCCAGGUCCCUCGGAAACGGUGUAACCCAGUCACACUUCUACCACGUCAGU